GAUGAACGCUGGCGGCGUGCCUAAUACAUGCAAGUCGAGCGAACAGAUGAGGAGCUUGCUCCUCUGACGUUAGCGGCGGACGGGUGAGUAACACGUGGAUAACCUACCUAUAAGACUGGGAUAACUUCGGGAAACCGGAGCUAAUACCGGAUAAUAUAUUGAACCGCAUGGUUCAAUAGUGAAAGACGGUUUUGCUGUCACUUAUAGAUGGAUCCGCGCCGCAUUAGCUAGUUGGUAAGGUAACGGCUUACCAAGGCAACGAUGCGUAGCCGACCUGAGAGGGUGAUCGGCCACACUGGAACUGAGACACGGUCCAGACUCCUACGGGAGGCAGCAGUAGGGAAUCUUCCGCAAUGAGCGAAAGCCUGACGGAGCAACGCCGCGUGAGUGAUGAAGGUCUUCGGAUCGUAAAACUCUGUUAUUAGGGAAGAACACAUGUGUAAGUAACUAUGCACGUCUUGACGGUACCUAAUCAGAAAGCCACGGCUAACUACGUG
rnacentral:rRNA from 1 species